rnacentral:rRNA from 1 species
UACUGUAAAGGAUUGUAGAGUCUAGAUUAGUAGGGGUUAAGGUCCGUACCUUUUGUAUAAGGGUUUUUUUAGAAAAUGAGUGUAUAACUGUUUCCCGAAAAAAGAUAAGUUACUUGAAUUUAAUUUAUUUUUCGUGGUAAAGAAAAAUAAAAAAAUCAAGUAAAAGUGAUAUGCUAUUUGCUUCUUUUGAUAUCUGGUUAGCUUAAAAAAAUAUUUAGUAUUGUCUAUUUUCGUAGAUUCAAAUCAUCUGGGAUAAGCUGGGUGUUGGGGUGAAUUAAAGAAAUUCUUGUUGUAAUUAGAGUUUUAAAUAGUCUUUAUAUUAGUCAUUUUUUUUAGUUUGUCAUAAAAACUAUCUUGUUUUUGUAAGAAUUCUUUUUUAGAGUUUAUGGGAAAUAUAAGCUUAUACUUUAAAGAGUAGUAAUACUGAUAAGAAUGAGUAAAGUGGUAGAAAAAUUCCUUUGUAAAAUGGAAUUCUAAUUUAAUAUAUUGUUUUUGUAAGUUCCUGUAAUGAACUCGGCAAACAUUUUAUCCUCGACUGUUUAACAAAAACAUUUCUCGUAGAAAGUGAUUACGGGUAGGCCCUGCCCGGUGUAAAUAGAAAAUAUUUAUAAACGGCGGCAUUAACGUGAGUGUCCUAAGGUAGCGCGAUAAUUUGCCCUUUAAUUGGGGGAUGGGAUGAAUGGGUUUACGUGGGAGAUUCUGUGUCACAGGAUUAAGUUGAAAUUAUUUUUAAAGUGAAGAAACUUUAAUAAGGCAGAAAGACGACAAGACCCUAUGAAGCUUAAUAGAUAUAACUUUCUAAAACGAUGGUUUAAUAUUUUAAUGGGGCAUUAUAGAAUGGAGAUAUUCUAAUAUUUGUUAGUCCUACUGGAUUUAACUGUGUUCAUAUAAGGAAAGCUACUCUAGGGAUAACAGCGAAAUUUUUUUUGAUAGAAGACAUUAGAAAAAAAGUUUUCGACCUCGAUGUUGGCUUUAGGUAACCCUUGGGUGUAUCAGUUCAAGUGUGUGGGUUUGUUCAACCUUUAAUUCCUAACAUGAGCUGAGUUCAGAACGGCGUGAGCUAGUUCAGUUUCUAUCUUCUGUUUAUAAUAUUGAUGGGUUUGGUACGCAAGGAACAACUUAUUCCAGAUUGUAAUCUGUAUUGGUU